rnacentral:rRNA from 1 species
GCUGGUUGCCUGUGAAAGAAUCUAAGUUCCCCCUUAAUUUUACGCCCAAAGAAAAACUCAACCCACUCUCCCGUACUAAAUUAAGAGCAAUUUAAAGGAGGUACAGCUCCUUUAAAAAAGAAUACAACCUCCCCCAUAGGAUAAGCACCUACUUCACCCAAUUGUAGGCCCUCAAGCAGCCACCAAUAAAGAAUGCGUCAAAGCUCUUCACCCUUAAAAAUCCAAAAACACACGCGACUCCAUCCCCCGCAACAGGCUAAUCUAUCAUAAAUAGAAGUACUAAUGCUAGAAUAAGUAACUAAGGAAUAACCUUCUAAAGCACAAACUUACAUUACACAUUAUUAACAGGCACACUAAUACCCCAAUCACCACAAGAUCAAGUAUUUAAUACAACACUGUUAAACCAACCCAGGAGUGCCCAAUUAGAAAGAUUUAAACCUGUAAAAGGAACUAGGCAAACCCAAGGCCCGACUGUUUACCAAAAACACAGCCUUUAGCAAACCAAGUAUUAAAGGUGAUGCCUGCCCAGUGACACAAAGUUCAACGGCCGCGGUAUCCUAACCGUGCAAAGGUAGCGCAAUCAAUUGUCUCAUAAAUCGAGACUUGUAUGAAUGGCUAAACGAGGUCUUAACUGUCUCUUACAGGUAAUCAGUGAAAUUGAUCUCCCCGUGCAAAAGCGGGGAUAGACCCAUAAGACGAGAAGACCCUGUGGAACUUAAAAACCAGCGACCACUAUAAACCCAACAUAAGGCCUAACAGGCACACUGCCAGAAACA